GCUGUCCCUGGGGUCCGAAGUGUCCAGGACGUCGCUCUCCUCGCCCGGAUCGUCCAUGUCGUAGGACAGCAUGCCGCCGUCCUGCUCCUGCGGCGUGGCCGUGUUCCUGCUCUCCAGACCCCCGCUGUUGUCCACGAACUUUGCUGCUCUGAAGAGACAGCCGUCUUUAACAGGACAAAGAAGACACCGUGGACCUCUGGGAGGAGAUGCUGCAGAUCUCCAUGUUGGUAAAAGAGCUCCCACCUUCACUAGUGCAAUCUGGGAAUGGCGGAUCGGCGCACUCUGAGGGACGCUGAUAAGACCGCAUCCCCUGCGCCGGUUAUUGUCGUUAAUCCAGGACUGCAUGAAUUGGCAAAGCCCCGUCACACUGGGAUCUGCUGCUCGCCUGAGGAAAAGCAGAGCUCUGGGGAGUGGUUCCACCCAGUGGCGGCUGUCUCAAGGCUCACUGCCCCCAGUUUGAUUAAUGGAAACCCUCCCUGGCUCUGUGGCAUCCGAUGGAUCUCAUUACACCUCAGUGGGAGGGGCUGUACUACAGGUCUCCUGCAGUUUGGACUCAUUGCUAAUUGGAUAAGAACAGCACAAGCUCAGAUAAACAAACAACCCUUAUGUCAGAGCCUGAAGUGUGAUAUAUACACAGGCAUUUCCAUGCAAAGGCCAACCUAACCAGUUGAGAGCAUACACAUCCUGAUUUUUGCCAAGUUCAACAUGUCACUGGGUCAACAGAGGAGCUUGCCUGUCACUUUUUUAGCCAAUCACAGUCUUUAUUGUAUGACAUUAUCACCCUCCUUUGUAGGGGUAACUUGUUGGAGACCAGUGUUUUCUGUUAAGCAGCAUGGUGCACAGAUUUGUAAAGUACCCAUUUUAUUGUCUAUGUUUUCUGUUAAGGCACAUGUCAUACAUACAAAACAUAAGAACAUGCUUACCUGCAAAGGCUGGAUGGAGCAAUUUAUUUCAUGAUUAUGAUAAAAAGAAUAAGAAUUCUCAAACCAGCAACCUUCCAAUCAAAGGCACAGAGCUGCAGAGCGCUUCCUGAUCAAUGGCUAGAAGCUUUGAGUUUGAAAAUGAGGAAAAAAAUGGACCGAUGUGGUGAUGUCAUACAGUGAAGACUGUGAUUGGUUAAAGAAGUGAAACGCAAGCCCCACCCUUGUUGACCCAGGGACAUGUCAAUCUCAAGAUGUCCUUGUGAGCAUGUGAACAAAACUAUUUUUAAAAGGUUCACUUAUGUCUAUAUGUCUCGUUUCAUAAUUGAUUGGCCACUGAUGACUAUUUCAGUUGUUUCAUGUAAAAAAAAUAAUCAAGCAUGUGGUUUCUAUAAUCUGUGGACUGGUUCAGACAGCACAUCCAUAAUGCAAAAAAAAGUCAAAAAACCAUAAUGCCAUUUUUAUCCAAGAACAGCAAAUAUAUAAUUUUUUUGUUCACUGAA